CAGUAGCCGCGGGAAAACGAAGGGGGCUAGCGUUGUUCGGAUUUACUGGGCGUAAAGCGCACGUAGGCGGAUCGAUCAGUCAGGGGUGAAAUCCUGGAGCUCAACUCCAGAACUGCCUUUGAUACUGUCGAUCUCGAGUCCGGAAGAGGUGAGUGGAACUCCUAGUGUAGAGGUGGAAUUCGUAGAUAUUAGGAAGAACACCAGUGGCGAAGGCGGCUCACUGGUCCGGUACUGACGCUGAGGUGCGAAAGCGUGGGGAGCAAACAGGAUUAGAUACCCCGGUAGUCCCUGUCUCUUAUAC
rnacentral:rRNA from 1 species